rnacentral:lncRNA from 1 species
AAAGAACAGUUCAGCAAUUAUGCCUAUAUUAUUUGCAAUACUUCCCCUCCCAGAGGUCCCUGUAAUGGCUUCCAGCUGGUCCCUAACAGUUUCUAGAGAAGCAAGGUCUUGCUAGGAGACCCCACCUCCUGACCCGGAGACCUGGGGAGAACCAGGUCCCUUAAACAUCUGACUUCCCAAGGACUGGGAUGCUCUCAGCCCAAGACGGGUCUGUCGUUGCAGCUUAUGAACAACGUGACUGGCUUAGUGGACGGCCAGGGCACCUGCCGCUGUGUGGUCUGUCUCCCCCACAGCCCCUUCCCCCUGCAAAAGCUGGAACAACUUCAGAGUGCCACCCAAGAGCUGCUGGAGACGUAUGAGAGGGUACUCUCCAAGGUGAAGAAUGUGAGCUCCCUGGUCCAACAUCUGGCCAGCUCCCACCAGAUCAACAUCCGCAUGGCCACUCAGGUGCUGGAAACUCUGGAGAAUCAUCUGCAAGAGUGCGAACAGGAGCAGGGGCGGGAAGGCUUGGAGCAUCGCAUUCCUCCAGGUGAGCUCCUUCCUAUUACUUCAUCUCCUCCUUCCCAUCCCCUGCCUUGCCCUGCCCUCCAUUCUCCCCACUCUCCACUUUCUUGUCUGGUCAGAAGAGGGCUUGGGAGGGGCCAGGGUGACCUUUUUGCAGAGAACAAGAUUCUCCCAUUUCUGAGAAGCAGUGUGUCCUAGUGGAAAGAGUAGGGGCCUGGGAGUCAGAAGGACAUGGGUUCUAAUGCUGGCUCAGCCAUUUGCCUGCUGUGGGAUCUUGGGCAAGUCACUUCAGUUAUCUGUGUUUCAUUUCCUUCAUAUGUAAAAUGGGGAUUCAAAACCCGUCCUCCGUUCUACUUAGACUGUGAGCCCCAUUAGAACAGGGACUGUCUUCAACCUGAUUAACUUGUAUCUACCCCAGUGCUUAGAACAGUGCUUGACACAUAUGCCAUCAUCAUCAUCAUCUGAGCACACUCUGCAUUCAGUGAAUGAGAAUUGUCCCCUAAUUGAGCUCUCUGCCUCCUGGCAAGGGUUCUUCAUCUCAACCAUGCAGGACAAGCAUAGUGAAAGCCAGGGGGUGGGUUGUCCUGACCUGUUUUGCAAGAUCGCGAAUAAGAUUCUUCAGUAUCUCCCAUAAGGGAACCAGUAAUAACAAUAAUGUGGUAUUCUUUAUGUACUUAUUAUGUGCCAAGCACUGUACUACACUCUGGGGUAAAUAUAACAUAAUCAGAUCAGGCAGGGUCCCUGUCCUGCAUGGAACUCACUGUCUAGGGGAAAGGAGAACAGGUAUUUUUCCUCCAUUUUGCAAAUAAGGAAAGUGAGGCAUAGAGAAGUUGUGAUUUUGCCCAAGGUCACCCAGCAGGCAAGUGGCAGAGCUGAGACUAGACACCCCCUUCUUCUGACUCCCAGUCCUAUGCUCUACCCAUUUCUAAACCAAUGUCCUCAAGCAGCGAGGCUCAGUGGAAACAGCACAGGCUUGGGAGUCAGAGGUCAUGGGUUCGAAUACCGGAUCUGCCACUUGGCAGCUGUGUGACUGUGGGCAAGUAGCGUGGCGCAGUGGAAAGAGCACGGGCUUUGGAGUCAGGGCUCAUGAGUUCGAAUCCCAGCUCUGCCACUUGUCAGCUGUGUGACUGUGGGCAAGUCACUUAACUUCUCUGUGCCUCAGUUUCCUCAUCUGUAAAAUGGGGGUUAAGACUGUGAGCCCUACGUGGGGCAACCUGAUUCCCCUGUGUUUACCCCAGCGCUUAGAACAGUGCUCUGCACAUAGUAAGCGCUUAACAAAUACCAACAUUAUUAACAUUACUAUUUAACUUCUCUGUGCCUCAAUUACCUCAUCUGUAAAAUGGGGAUUAAGACUGUGAGCCCCACGUGGGACAACCUGAUUACCCUGUAUCUACCCCAGUGCUUAGAACAGUGCUCUGCACAUAGUAAGUGCUUAAUACCAACAUAAUUAUUAUUACAUAAGAACAGGUCAGCACCCUCCUUGUCAAAAUCCUGCCCAGACUCUGAGUCAGUGAUUCUAUUUGUUCAAUUUGCACCCCCUCUAAACUGUAAACCUCACCCCUUGACUUUAAGCUCCUUAUCAGCAGGGAACAUGCCUAACUCUGUUAUACUGUACUCUCCCAAGCACUUAAUACAGUGCUCUGCACAUAGUAAGCGCUCACUAAAUUUGAUAGAUUGGUUGACUGUCAACCAUCUGUUCUGUAGUUUAAACAAUCCCAUUUUCUUUAGCCUUCACAGUUAGGGGCUACUUCCAUGAGUUUAAUCAAUGGACCUCUCCAGUGUUUCCACAUAAAUUUUUAGAGUGUAGUGACCAAAACUGGUUAUGGUACUCUUUCAAGGGUCUCGCUGAUCCAAGAAGAGUUUAGCAAAAGGAUCUUUUCUCAACUCCUUCUUGUCAAAUGUCCAUUUAGAUCUCCAGUACCAUCUCAGAUUGCUAUAUAAUGAGAGUAGCAUUGAUUGUCCUCAGCCUGUGAACCCUUGGGAUCCCUGGGUCUUUUUCUGCCAAAUUUAAAUAGAUAAAUAAUGAUAGCAAUAAUGAUGGCAUUUGUUAAGUGCUUACUAUGUGUCAAGCACUGUUCUAAAUGUUGGGGUUACACUGUUCUAAGAUAAUCAGAUUGGGCAUAGUUCCUGUCCCACAUGGGACUCACAGUCUUAAUCUUCAUUUUACAGAUGAGGUAACUGAGGCACAGAGAAGUUAAGUGACUUGCCUCAGGUCAGAGUGGCAGAGCCAGGAUUAGAACCUAGGUCUUUCUGACUCCCAGGCUCAUGCUCUAUCCACUGGGUUAUGCAGUCUCUCUAAUACCUCCAGGGUCAUUUCUGAUUAGAGUAAUAGUGGCCUUGUAUGGCUCUUCAGCUUGUGAUCCCCUGAGUCUUUUUCUGCACAACUCAGACCUGGCCAGUCAUUUUGCAC